rnacentral:rRNA from 1 species
CCUACGGGAGGCAGCAGUGAGGAAUAUUGGGCAAUGGGCGAAAGCCUGACCCAGCGACGCCGCGUGAGGGACGAAGGCCUUCGGGUUGUAAACCUCUUUUCUGGGGGACGAGACCAGGACGGUACCUCAGGAAUAAGUCUCGGCUAACUACGUGCCAGCAGCCGCGGUAAGACGUAGAAGGCGAGCGUUAUCCGGAUUUACUGGGCGUAAAGCGCACGCAGGCGGCUUCGUUAGUCGGAUGUGAAAGCUCCUGGCUUAACUGGGAGAGGCCAUUCGAUACUGCGGGUCUUGAGGUUGGAAGAGGGGUGUGAAAUUCCCGGUGUAGGGGUGAAAUGCGUAGAGAUCGGGAGGAACACCAGUGGCGAGGGCGGCGUCCUG